CAGGUCCCUGAAGGCAUUUUUAGGGGUGGCUGUUGUGUCACAAGUGCAUCAGUAGGUGGCAGAGAAAAGAGAGGCGAUGUUCAUGCUUGGCUUCUGACCUGUGAACUAAUCUGAAUGAUCCUAACAUU